CCCCCCCCCCCCCCGCAGCAAAGUCUGGGAAGUUGGACGAUGCUGAUCAUGAUGCGUUCAAGAAACAAGCUGCAUGCCUCAACUUCCCAGCUGAAUUCCACUAUUCAGAGACCACAGACCUGUGUCCCGAGGAGGAGGAGGAGGAGGCCGCCACAGACGUAAAGGAGGGAGAACACUGAAGAAAACACAUUGAAAAGAACAAGUCGUCAUCUGCUUCGAACCUCAAAUCCGUCCUGAACACCUGUUUGAUGAAUCUGUACCACUCAUAGGAAACCUUUUCUGUAUUAAAGAUGAGAUGAGAAGAAUGAUUUCAUGUUAACUGUACGGUUCAUGAAUCGGCAUGGACAAAAGGUUGUUUUCAUCUGUGCAUAUGCAUAAAAAGCUUGACAAAAAGAA